AUACUUACCUGGCAGGGAAGAUACCAUGAUCAUGAAGGUGGUCUUCCAGGGUGAGGCUUAGCCAUUGCACUCCAGAUGUGCUGACUUCUGAGACUUCCCCAAAAGCAGAAAACUUGACUGUAUAAUUUGUGGUACUGUGGGACUGUGUUAGUGUUCUCUCUUG
rnacentral:snRNA from 1 species